AAAAUUUAUGUUUUGUUAAUUUUAUUUUAAAUUUAUUUUACAUAUAAAUUUUAGUAUAAAAUUUUAAUUAUUUUAAUAAUAAUUAAUUUUUUUUUGUAGUAAUUUAUAUUAAAAAUUUAAGAAAUUAAGAUUUAGUAAUAUAUUAAUUAAUAACUAAUUUUGUGCCAGCAGUUGCGGUUAAACAAAAAUUAAAUUAAAUUAUUUCAGUUUAUAAUAAAUAAUAAAUAAUUAAAGUAAAUUUUAAAUUAUUAAGUGAAAUUUUAAUUUAAUAAAAUUUUAUUUAAAAAUUAUGAUUUAAUAAAUUUAAAAAUAAACUAGGAUUAGAUACCCUAUUAUUAAAAAUUUAAUUUAUAAAUACUAAAAUAGUAAAUAAUUAUUUAUUGAAACUUAAAUAAUAUGGCGGUAUUUUAGUUCAUUUAGAGGAAUCUGUCUAAUAAUUGAUAAUCCACGAAUAAAUUUACUUAAUUUAAAAUUUUGUAUAUCAUUGUUAAAAAAAUAUUUUUAAAUAAGAAUAAUAUUUAAAAAUUUAAAUAUAAAAUUAGAUCAGAUCAAGAUGCAGAAUAUAAUUAAGAAUAUGAUGGAUUACAAUAAAUAUAUUUAAAUGAAUAUAAUAUUGUAAAAUAUUUUUGAAGGUGGAUUUAAAUGUAAUUUUAAUUAAUUUAUUAAAAUGAUUAAAAAUUGGAAUAUGUACAUAUUGCCCGUCGCUUUCAUUUUAAAAUUGAAAUAAGUCGUAACAAAGUAGAGGUACUGGAAAGUGUUUCUAGAAAGAA
rnacentral:ncRNA from 1 species